UACGAAGGGGGCUAGCGUUGCUCGGAAUCACUGGGCGUAAAGGGUGCGUAGGCGGGUUUUUAAGUCAGGGGUGAAAUCCUGGAGCUCAACUCCAGAACUGCCUUUGAUACUGAGGAUCUUGAGCUCGGGAGAGGUGAGUGGAACUCCGAGUGUAGAGGUGAAAUUCGUAGAUAUUCGGAAGAACACCAGUGGCGAAGGCGGCUCACUGGCCCGGUACUGACGCUGAGGUGCGAAAGCGUGGGGAGCAAACAGG
rnacentral:rRNA from 1 species